rfam:Coccidioides posadasii str. Silveira unplaced genomic scaffold supercont2.12, whole genome shotgun sequence.
GCGGUUUUAGCUCAGUUGGGAGAGCGCAUGACUGAAGCUUCAACUUCGGUGGUUGAUUAAUCGACUGAAUAUCAUGAGGUCACCCGUUCGAUCCGGGUAAAUCGCA